UACAGAGGUCUCAAGCGUUGUUCGGAUUCAUUGGGCGUAAAGGCUCGUAGGCGGCCAACUAAGUCGGAUGUGAAAUCCCCAGGCUUAACCUGGGAACUGCAUCCGAUACUGGAUGGCUUGAAUCCGGGAGAGGGAUGCAGAAUUCCAGGUGUAGCGGUGAAAUGCGUAGAUAUCUGGAGGAAUACCGGUGGCGAAGCGGCAUCCUGGACCGGCAUUGACGCUGAUGAGCGAAAGCUAGGGAGCAAACGGGA
rnacentral:rRNA from 1 species